rnacentral:tRNA from 1 species
GGGUAAAGCUCAAAGGGGAGUGUCUGCUUAGCAUGCACAAGGUCCUGGGUUCAAUCCCCAGUACUUCCA